rnacentral:snoRNA from 1 species
ACCAGGGUUUAGAUUUAUGGCAGGCUUGUCACCCUGGGCCUCUCAUAGUGUCCUAUGCUAUGAGCGAACUGUGCCUCUGAACCAUUUUCUGUAGGAUGCUGGCACUGAAGCGGGUCACACAGUG